GCAGGAUCUCUAAACAUAGUACAGUAUCCACAUAAUUUAAUCAGCAUAGUUAAGUCCUAUAGGUAGGAUUUCUAUCCAAUUGCAACAAAGAUAUAAGCAUAAACCCCCCAGCCUUUACUAAUUAACCCCAAAUCUAUUAUUACAGAGAUUAUUACAGCCCAGAAUAAAUGAAUUACAUAAUAGUAAUGAUUACACUAUAGGGAGCCUUCCUAGGCCCAAACUAAACCUGGGAACCAGGCCUUCAAGCAUAACAGCUCUAAAGCAAUAGCAGUGAUCCAUUCACAACACAUUAAACCAGGCUUCCAGUGUGUCAAAAUUCCCAAAGAGCCUCAGAGACACCGGGCAAUGCUCACACUAGAACCACACAUUCAGCACAGAGUUCAUAAAAUAUUAGAAAACCAGCCCAAUGUGUCAGAGUACAAAGGAGUCUCAGGGACCAAAGGCAGUGCUCACAUUGGGGGUAGUGAGAACCUAAAUGACUAAGAGUAGGAGUUUGAAAAAUUAGUGCAUAAGGGAUAAUAGGGCAAGUUUUGAAAUAGUUCAAUUUUCAGAAAAGAUAAAGUUCAGAAUACAAAGUUGCAGGCAGAACUGCUCCAAUAAGCAAACAAGAUUUAGGUUCAGCAUACAGUACAAAUAUGGUGAAGUCUGAUUAAGCUAAAUACUUAUGCUGGCAUUUGAACCAGUCAUGGCUCAGUCAUAGAAGCAAUUAGGCAGAAGACAUUUGAAUUGAACAGACAUGACAGAUGAGUUAAGCACAAACAUGCUUGAUUACAUGCUUAGAGUUCAGAACAGGUAUAAAGCUAACAAACAAAUCAAACCUUAAACUAACUUAUGAGAGGAUUCCUAUUAUUCUAAAUGCCUUAGUCUUAAGUUAACAGUAUUAUCAAAUUACCAGAUAAGGGACAGAAUCAUGCUAGGAAUUGAAACAGGUUACUCAAACAAUGCAUAGAGAAAGGUAAUUGCAAAGAUUAGGGCAUACCAGUUGAGAAGAAAGAAAGUAAAGAUGCAGUAACAAUUAUGUUCCAGAAUAAUUUGGCCUUGGAUUUCAGCCGGCCAAACAAUAGCCACUUAGUGCAAAAAUCAGAACAAGAGCAAGAGAGAGAGUUUAAGUUUAGUAGUGAGAAUAGGAGAGUUCGAGUGUUGUUCUAAAGGGGAAAGGGGAAGGGUUUAACUAAUGCUCAAUGAGGUAGACAAAUAAGGUAAUGCAUCAGUCCUACACAAAUAAGGCAUGAGAAUAACUUCAUAAUCAAUUAAAGUCGGCUUCAAUCAAUUAACAGGGCAUAAUAGCAUAAAAUCAUGCUAGUACCACUUAAUUUAGGGAAAGCAUUAUAUGGAAUCAAUCAGUAGUCAAGUGCUAGAUCAAAAUAAGGUAAAGAAAUAAUUUCAGGAUCAAUUUGAAGUCUAGUUUAGGGACAGAUAAUAUAGAGUUCAGUCAAUUAACGAGUAAUCAGGCAAGUAUUACUCAUAAUAAGGUAAGUAUCAUAUAGAAUCAAUUACCAAUCAGCAAACAUGGUAAAGAAAUAAAGGAAUGAGGUAGGUUGAACAAAAUAAGAAAAGUAUCAGUACUAUAUGAGAAAGGAAAGAGUAAAAGUCUCACAUCCUAGUUUUAGGUAAACCACAAAAUCGGUAGUAAAAUAAGGACAAAAUAAUCAUAUACUGUGUACAGUGAACAUAGACAGGAGAUUUAUUCAAAAAGCAAUAAAGAAUCGAACUAGAGAAAGAUCUAAAGCCCUAAUUUUAAGGUAAGACACUCAAAUCAGUCAGAGUAAAAGAGAAUAACACAGAUUCAUACCAAAUAAAUAUAUACAGGAGUUUAUUAAAGGAAACUCAUAGCCGAAUCAGUUUUAAUUCAAGUAAAAGAAAAGGUUUGAAACCCUAGAUUCAAGUAAAUCACAGAAUCUAUCAAAAAUUAACAUAUCGAUAAAUAAUAGAGUAAAUAUAGACGAAGAAAAUGCUUUUAAAGGACAGAGUUUGAACCAGAUCUAGUUCAAAUCAAAGAGCAUUUGAAACCCUACUUUGGGGUAAGUAAGAAUCAAAGAAGAUAUGAACAUGUUCGUUACGCACAAAGACUCAGAGAUGAAUAUAGACGGAAUAGCCAUAGAAAUUAGAGAGUUGAACUGAUUUAGUUCGAUUUUGGCAAGAUUUGCUUGGCAUGUUAGGCAAGCAACUAAAUAGGAUCAUAGACAAGUAUCAAGUGGUGAGGAAAGACUAAUAAGGUAAGGGGAUCCAUGGUUGAUUCCAUAUCUGGUUGGAAUCGAAUGGGGAAUUAGGGUUACGGCGCUAGGGUUUUAAGAGGAGGAGAGGUGAGAGAUGAGAGAGUUUGAAUACGGCGGGGUGGGUGAAAUGGAUUAGAGUUAGGUUUUUGGGUGUAAUUAAAAUAAGGGAAAAGGAUAUGGACCGUUGAUCUCAGAGAUCAACGAUCACGAUUAAAGGGGUUCCGAAUCGGGUAGCUAAUUGGGUAAGGGUAAUUGGGUUAGGUUAUUGGGCUGGGGGUAAUGGAUAGUGGGCUAGGUCCGAAAAAUUAAUUAAAAGGGGCUAUGUUUUAAAUACCCAUUUAAAUUAUUAAAAGAAUUUAUAAAAAAAUACUUAUGAAAUGAUAAAAAAUGUCAUUUGUGCAUAAAAAUAAUUACUUAAUAUUAUAAAAAUAUAGAAAGUCAUUUUAUAUAUAGAUAUAUGCAUAUAUAUGGGCUAUUAUUGCAAAAUAUGCAGAUCUAGCCUUAAAAAUGCAAAUGUAAUUAUAAAAAAUAUAAUUAAAAUAUUUAAGCACUAUAUCGACAUAAAUAAUAAAUUUAGAUGAUUAAAUUAUCAUAAACAUUAUAUGAGAGAUAAUUAUUGGCUAUUUGUAUAAUACAAAAUGUAGAAAUAACUUUAUAUAAAGCUUUAAAAAUUAUAAAAAUACUUGUGCAUGUUUAUAAGUGCAUGUGCACUAUUUUUUAAAAAUAUAUAUGCAUAUUUAAAAUAUAUGAGGAAAAAAUUGGGUAUCAACAUUGCUGGCAUCCAUAUGUUGCAUAUCCAGCUCAACCAAGUUUGGGCCCCCUUGUUUAUGUUUGUUUUUUCCAUGAACUGUCUCUUGCUCCACUUACCCAAAAAGUCUCAAGUAUAUACGGUUAAUCAAGUUUUUACUCUUUUUAACCUAUGAUCGCCUGAUUAUUUACUCUUGUGUACAUGUUUAUGGCUACAGCUAAAAUAUCUUAUUUACCCCAUGAAGCCACACAAUGUCGCCAUGGUUUGGAUCCCAUUUCGCAUAUAAUUUUCACAUGAUAUUCAAGUUUGCCUUGCCCUUUGGUCCUUGAGCAAAUCGUAACCAGCCUCCCUCUUUUAUCUUUGUAACUAUAUUCUAGUAAGUCUUCUUUGUAGCAUCAAAAUUCAGUGGCCUCUCUACCAAUUGAGGGAGCACUCGCUUUUAACAUAUGUUGUCCCAGAACUUGCAUGUAUGUACGCUCACAAAGUUCUUGUCCCCUACAGAUUUUUCAGCCAAAGCACUUGGCUCCCCAACAUCCUCUAGCGGUGGAAUAACAAUCUCAUCAUCAGAUGAGUGAGAAUCAAACUCUAACUCAACCAUAUUUUGUGACUUUCCUUCCCUUAUACAUUCACAAUCUUUUCCUUUUUAGCCAAAGGGGACUUUGAAGCUCCCUCUUGAAUUUUAAAUGGAACCACUCUUUGCCUAGAUGGCCGUGAUUGUGGUGUGCUUUUUUUUGUCUGUAUGGACUGCUCAAUGUUCUAUGUGGUUUCCUUGUAUCCACUUCAGAGGUUCCUUUUUGCACAUUUUCAUGCUUUUGUUUAGUUCUGACUUACUUACUUUCCUUUGAGGGGUCAUUCUUAUCACUUGACAUCCUUUUAGGAGAGGUUUACCAUCUUCUCUCGCUCUGUGAUUGUGAGUUGGUGUUUAGAUACUACAAAUGAUAACUAAAAAGAUCAAUGAAUCAAUGUUAGUUCAACUUGCAUUAACAAGCCAUAGUAGUGCGCACCGCACCCCACACUUAGCUCUUGAGUGUAGGUGUGCAAUGUUAGGCCUGAGGGACUACUACAACCUACUCUUACAAAAACAAGUUCGUUCAACAUAAGUUAAAACCAAGUGGGCAAAGGCGACACAUGAGUCGUUUCUAAAUCAGCAAUGGGUUGAUAGUCAUAAAAAAUAAAUGUAAUUUAAAUUCAAGAACUCCCAAACAGCCAACCCACACUUAAGGGCUGCUCACUUUGCCAUCAGAAGAAGGCUCGCUACUCGGACUUCACAAAACCCAUUAAAAAAGUCGCUUAGGCAUUUUAUCAAACCUAUUAUGUGCGUAGUUUGUUCUUUGCUUGUUUUGUCUCUUUUGAAUCAUCAACCCCCCCCCCCAAAAUUGAGUGAGGUGGUAAAUAUUAUAGUUUCUUACCUUAUUUUAUUCAAUAAUAAACCAAACAAGACCCUUUAAUCCCCUAAUUUCUUGAAUUUUCUACCCUACUCAACUUACAACACAAAGUAACCUAAAGAAAGAAGAAAAACAAAAGAAAAGAGAUGAAAGAGGAAAAAGCAGUUGACGGGGUGAGGAAAGGACGAAGGAAAGAGAAAACUUACUUGUUGUCCUUGAAGAUGGAGGGGAACAAGCAACACUAGGUGGUGGAGGGUGAUCGAAGAGAGAGAAGAGAAGAGAAGAAAAGAAGAAAGAUGGGGUUUUGUGUUUACCCGAGCUUGUCGGGGUCUCACGCGACGUGAGAACUCCAAAUGAUCUAAAGAAUUCACCCAAUAAGGUCUCGUGAUGUCUUGUGACACUAUUUCUGAGUAUCACCCAUUAGCAUUGUUU
rnacentral:lncRNA from 1 species